rnacentral:rRNA from 1 species
UGAGGAAUUUUGGACAAUGGACGAAAGUCUGAUCCAGUGACACCGCGUGAAGGAUGAAGGUCUGAGGAUUGUAAACUUCUUUUGACAGGGAAGAUAAUGACGGUACCUGUAGAAUAAGCACCGGCUAACUUCGUGCCAGCAGCCGCGGUAAUACGAAGGGUGCUAGCGUUACUCGGAAUUACUGGGCGUAAAGUAGGCGUAGGCGGUUAUGUAAGUCAGAAGUGAAAGCCCAGAGCUCAACUUUGGAAUUGCUUUUGAAACUGCAUUUCUAGAACAUGGUAGGGAGCAGGAGAAUUCCUGGUGUAGGGGUAAAAUCCGUAGAUAUCAGGAGGAAAACCGGAGGCGAAGGCGCCUGCUUGGGCCAUUGUUGACGCUGAGGUCUGAAAGCGUGGGGAGCAAACAGG